CAGAGUAUGCAGAGGUAUUGCAGUGUAAUAACUCUCCAUCCAGUAGAACACCCAGAGGACAUCAGUUCCCAGCUGCUUUCCUCAUCAGAGCCUCAGGACUUGAUAAGCAUGGUAUUGACUCAGAGCGCCCACUUUGCUACUCACACUUUGACAUAGCUGGAUCAAGUGGAUCAUUCCCACAAGUCCCUACUGGUGCGCCAGUGGUUGCCAUGACAGAGAUCUUUCUCAAAAGCCACUGUUAAACAUAUCAUAUGUUAAGCUGAUAACACAGCACAGCUUCAUGUUCUUAUUGGGGCACGACACUUCAAAAGUAGAUCAGCACGAAAAAUCUGAUUUUUGGUGAAUUUUGUUUGAGUUAGUUCUAACAUGGUGUAGGGGUCGCAACGACGUUUCCAAGACUUAGAAAAAAAAGAAAUUCUGAAAAAAAAAAGCUUAAAUGACUGAUGAAGUGCAAAUUAAUCUCGAAUUUUUAAAUAGUAAUUAUAAUUAUGGUAAAGGUAGGAAAUGCAUGUGUUUAAGUUGAGCUGAGUUAAACAUAUUUUGAGAAGUUUGUCUUGGUUUUCUUUUUCGUAGAAUCCCAGAGUUUUCGAUAACGCUUCGGUGUUAAUUUGAAUAAAAAGCAUGUUGGAAGUAUUAAACAAAUAAUAGAAUUGAACAUAUCAGGGAUUGCUUACCGUUGCUUGAAAAAUGUGGUGGAAAUUGACUGACAAUAAAGACUUUCAAUGAAAAAAA